AUUUAAUAACUUAAUCAAAAAAUAUUAUUUGUGAUUCAGAGUAAAGAAUAUACAUUAAAUAUCUCAGUAUUUUUUUCUAUUAAAUAUAAUUAAAAAAAUAAAAAUUAAAAGCAUAAAUUUAUUUACAUUCUUAGUAUAGUGUAAUUUUGAUAAGCCCCCGUUUUGCUGCGCAUAACCCUUAAACCAGAAAAGACUAUGCGGAAAUAAUCUUAGGUGGUUUAUUAGUAAAUCAUAAACUACAUUCUAUUGAACUUAGUAACUAUAGUUAAGCUAUUAAUUCUUUUUUUCUGAAACAUACCUUAUAACAUUUAAGGUUUCCUUGAAGUAUUCUUAAAUCUUUGGUCAUACUCAAAAAAAGAUGAAGAUUACUUCUUUUAAUCAAACUCUCCAUCUUUUCUUGAGUAUGUCCAACCAUUUAACGGGCCAAUCUUUCUACCCUGAAGAGAAAAUAUUACAAAAUUUAUAAAUAAUAUUAUUAACUAAUUUACAGAAAAAUUUCGAGUAUAAAUUCAAUAUAUUUACCUUAUGAUAUAAAUUAUGGUAAUUAAACAAACAGAUGUUAGUGUCAUUUAAUAAUUUAAUCAAAAAAUAUUAUUUGUGAUGCAGAGUAAAAAAUACACAUUAAAUCUCUCAGUAUUUUUUUCUAUUAAAUAUAUUUAAAAAAAUAAAAAUUAAAAGCGUAAAUUUAUUUACAUUCUAAGUAUAGUGUAAUUUUGAUAAGCCCCCAUUUGCUGCGCAUAACCCUUAAACCAGAAAAGACUAUGCGGAAAUAAUCUUAGGUGGUUUAUUAGUAAAUCAUAAACUACAUUCUAUUGAACUUAGUAACUAUAGUUAAGCUAUUAAUUCUUUUUUUCUGAAACAUACCUUAUAACAUUUAAGGUUUCCUUGAAGUAUUCUUAAAUCUUUGGUCAUACUCAAAAAAAGAUGAAGAUUACUU